rnacentral:rRNA from 1 species
AGAGUUUGAUCCUGGCUCAGGACGAACGCUGGCGGCGUGCUUAACACAUGCAAGUCGAACGAAAAGACGGAAAGAGCUUGCUCUUUUCAGAAUUGAUUGGCAAACGGGUGAGUAACACGUAAACAACCUGCCUUCAGGAUGGGGACAACAGACGGAAACGACUGCUAAUACCGAAUAAGUUCCAAGAGCCGCAUGGCCCAUGGAAGAAAAGGUGGCCUCUACCUGUAAGCUAUCGCCUGAAGAGGGGUUUGCGUCUGAUUAGCUGGUUGGAGGGGUAACGGCCCACCAAGGCGACGAUCAGUAGCCGGUCUGAGAGGAUGAACGGCCACACUGGAACUGAGACACGGUCCAGACUCCUACGGGAGGCAGCAGUGGGGAAUCUUCCGCAAUGGGCGAAAGCCUGACGGAGCAACGCCGCGUGAGUGAUGACGGCCUUCGGGUUGUAAAACUCUGUGAUCCGGGACGAAAAGGCAGAGUGCGAAGAACAAACUGCAUUGACGGUACCGGAAAAGCAAGCCACGGCUAACUACGUGCCAGCAGCCGCGGUAAUACGUAGGUGGCAAGCGUUGUCCGGAAUUAUUGGGCGUAAAGCGCGCGCAGGCGGCUUCCCAAGUCCCUCUUAAAAGUGCGGGGCUUAACCCCGUGAUGGGAAGGAAACUGGGAAGCUGGAGUAUCGGAGAGGAAAGUGGAAUUCCUAGUGUAGCGGUGAAAUGCGUAGAGAUUAGGAAGAACACCGGUGGCGAAGGCGACUUUCUGGACGAAAACUGACGCUGAGGCGCGAAAGCGUGGGGAGCAAACAGGAUUAGAUACCCUGGUAGUCCACGCCGUAAACGA